rnacentral:tRNA from 1 species
UGGGCGGUUAGCUCAGUUGGUUAGAGCAUCAGUAUGACACGCUGAGGGUCGACAGUUCAAUUCCGUCAUCGCCCAU